GGGUGGGGGUGGGGGGUGGGAAAUGUGAGGUAUUCACGCUGGAGUGUGGAGUUUGCAGAGCCCGGGUGGGGGAGGGGAGCCCAUUCAUCGCCAGGGCUUGAAUCAGCAGCGGGCGGAGGGGCCGGUCGCUCCCGCACAGCGAAGUUUACUUCCAAGUACCUAAGGAUAAAACUGGCCUGAAGGGAAAAUCUGGGGGAAACUGGGGAGCUUGACUGUUCUUGCACCUGACCCUCUCAGCUGUCAGAUGCGGUGAUCUCCAUGGUAACUCAAACCCCCAGACUCUCGACAGCAGCCUGCGAGGAGCAGCAUUCAGCAGCUCAAGGGUCUCACGACCAGGUAAGCCAAAAUUAACCACCCAGCAAGAGCCUACCUCAAGUAUGUGGUUUUCUGUCCAACUGCCUUUCAGGUUUCUCCCUGGUGAAGCUACGCAUGC
rnacentral:lncRNA from 1 species